rnacentral:rRNA from 1 species
UACGUAGGUGACCAGCGUUGUCCGGAUUUACUGGGCGUAAAGAGCGCGCAGGCGGUCGUUCAAGUCGAGUGUGAAAGCCCCCGGCUCAACUGGGGAGGGUCAUUCGAUACUGAUCGACUUGAAGGCAGGAGAGGGAAGCGGAAUUCCCGGUGUAGUGGUGAAAUGCGUAGAUAUCUGGAGGAAUACCGGUGGCGAAGGCGGCAUCCUGGACCGGCAUUGACGCUGAGGAGCGAAAGCCAGGGGAGCAAACGGG